CGAAUAGUUCCUGCGCGCUAGAGGAGCUCUCCAUUUUCCUUUUGUCUCUUAAUGAAUAGGUUAUGGUCCGGUUAAAUAUUAUUGAUUAUGUUUGUUAAAAACAACCUGAGGAUUGAUUAUAAAAAACAUUUGACAUGUUUCUACGACCAUUACGGAUACUAUUUGGAAUUUGUCGAACGGAACAAGGCUUUGGUUUUCUGAACAUAACACGCAACCCAAAUGGCGUUUUUUUGUGAUGAAGUAAUAUUUAUCGAACAAAAAGAACAUUUGUUGUGUAACUGGGAGUCUCGUGAGUGCAAACAUCUGAAGAUUUUCUUAGUUAAGCGAUUCAUUUUAUUGCUUUUUUGACUUUCGUGACCAAGCUAACCAAGCUAAUAUAAGGCUAACUGUUCUAGCAUUGAUUGUUACACUCACAAAAGCUUGGAUUUCUUUCGCUGUAAAGUAUAUUUUCAAAAUCUGUCACGAUAGGUGGAUUAACAACAAGCUAAUUGUGUUUUGGUAUAUUUCAAGCUAAGCUAAUAUAAGGCUAACUGUUCUAGCAUUGAUUGCUACACUCACAAAAGCUUGGAUUUCUUUCGCUGUAAAGUAUAUUUUCAAAAUCUGUCACGAUAGGGGGAUUAACGACAAGCUAAAUUGUGUUUUGGUAUAUUUCACUUGUGAUUGCAUGAUUAUAAAUAUUUUUUUUAAUAUUUUUUGCAUUUGGCGCCCUGCAAUUCUAGCGGUUGUUUGGGAAAGUGAUCCCGUAAAAGGGAUCUGUGCGCAGAGAAGUUAAAGGCACAGUCAAUUUAGUGUAUGUAAGCCUCUGACCCCAUACAGUGAAUUAUGAGUGAAAUAAUCUGUCUGUAAACAAUUGUUGGAAAAAUUACUUGUGUCAUGCACAAAGUAGAUCUCCUAACUGACUCAGGAUGUCUUAUAAAAGGGGUUGCAAGCUUUCAUCCAUGUAUACAGUUAAAAAUCUAGCUAACGUAAAUUCACGUAAACUCGUACAUCGCCUUGGUCCGUACAAUAGCCCUUAUUUUAACGCCCCCAAAAACAUGAUACUUCCAGAUCACCUGUAAUGUCAAUACCAUUGUAAAGCACAAUUUCUCCCCUUUCCAACAGAAUCAAUUACAUGACCUAAACACUGCCCGUUUCUGCAUAAUUCAAGCAGGCAGUCUAUUUCAAAAUGGCGGGUGGGGAAUCGAAACUAAUGCGUGAUAGUGAGAAGGAGAGAUGUCGUGUGGGAAAAUUGCUUUUUUUCACUCGAUCUGUCCAACUUAUCACCUUAUCGCCUCUAAAAUGUAAAUAAAUUACUAUAAAGAGUUUAUAUAAUGUGUGAUUACAUACCUAUUUGAAGGUUUGUGUCGAAUUUAAAUCGUGUUUUUAGGGUGGUGCUAAAGUGAUCUUAGAAGUAAACAGCGGCUUUGAGAAUGAUGAUCGAAUGAAAUGAUGACGCAAAAAAUGACUAGGUAUCCCCCUUACCCCCGUCACUGUCCAUUUCUUAUUUUUAAAGGAUGAGAGAAGUGCUACACCUGGUAGAGAGAGAUUGCUUUAUGCGUGCUGUACGUUACGACAUGACACGCCACGAUGUAACGGAGGGUCCAUUUUUUCACCUUUUCUCCAAUACUAUAGACCCAUUACCAUGUCGAUCAAAGCUUGAAUAGAAACCUAGUUCACACCCCCGAUUUUGAAGUCAACACUGUCGUUACAGUCCCAUUAGUUUUCUUUGUAGCCUCGUUUGAAUGUUGCGGUUGCGCACAUUUGUAUGGAAUGGGCAUCAAUCAGUAGAACAUGCCUAACUCUAAUCCACCAGUCAUACAGUCAUCAAAAAGAGAGUUGGCGCAAGCAAGGUUUCAUCAACUAAAUGCAUCAUUUCUUCACCAACUGCAGAGUUGGGAAAACACCUGUGGAUCUGCAAUUGUGAUAACUGCAGUGGGCAAAACAAGAACACGUUUGUGCUCUGGUAUUGUGCCUGGUGGAACAUGCACAAGCUCCACCACAAUCUGGACCUUCACCUCCUGAUCACAGGCCCCACCAAGUUUGCCCCUGACUGGUGCUUUGGCCUCAUCAAGCAGCGCUUCAGAGAGACCAGAGUGAACAUUUUGUCUGAGAAUGCUGGUAUUGUGAAGGACAGCCUGUGACAGGGGUCAACAUCCCACAGCUGGUUGGACUGGAGGAUGGUACGGUGCUGAUGAAAAGCUAUGGCUGGCAACAACAGCUCCAUACUUCAGGCCGCUGCCACAGAUCAAACAGUACCAGUACUUCAGCUUCGAUGAUCUGGAGCCUGGUGUUGUCGCCAAGGAGCGUUCAGACUGACCUCCCAUAGAUGGUCUGCCUGUAAAUGCACCACCUAGACUGGACACAGCUAGACAUCUUUUUGACAAGAUCAGGGAGUUUUGCGACGAAGAGGCUAUGGACAUCACAUGCCCUGCACCAAAGUCAAGGGCAGGACAGAAACAGGCUCUCAGAAUAAAUAGAUACCUUUGUUCACGCGUGGUUUGGACGGACCAGUCAUCAGCACUAUCUGCAGUGCCUCUAUUCACAUGACUCUCUCCUAACACACACGCCAUACUUUGCUGAUACUAUUUUCCCCCCUGCUGCUCAGCCACUUUACCCUUGAUUGUAUGCAUAUACCUACCUCGCACAUCACUGAUAUCGUCAACAUUUAUAUUGACACUAUCUCUUUCUGAUUUUGCUAAUAUGCAAGUAACCAUUUGGCUGUAUCGUUUACACAUUCUGAAGAGACCAUCCACUUAGCAAAAUAUUUGUAUGUGGGGUCGUAACAUGAUUUUGUGACACACCACAACAAUAUCAUGUGACCAUAUCAAGUGUCCACCACAUAAUAAUAUGGCACAUGCAUCUGUUUAUGUACUGUACAUGUGCACCUCACUCAGGUUUCAACUCAGGUUGCAUGGCCUUAACCUAUGUAUGGAAUACUGUAAUAAGGGCAUGUGUGACAGUAUAUAAAGUAUGCUAAUGUACUGGUGUGAAGGCAUUUGGGCAGUGGUGUAAAAAUACUUGAAAGUACUACUUAAGUAGUUUUUUGUGGUAUCUGUACAUUACUUUACUAUUUUAUAUUUUUAGCUACUUUUACUUCACUACAUUCGUAAAGAAAUUAAUGUACUUUUUACUCAAUACAUUUUCCCUUACACCCAAAAGUCUAUAUUUUGAUAGGAAAAUUGUCCAAUUCACACACUUAUCAAGAGAAUAUCUCUGGUCAUCCCUACUUUUUUAUAUUUUUAAAUUUUUAUUUCACCUUUAUUUAACCAGGUAGGCUAAUUGAGAACAAGUUCUCAUUUACAACUGCAACCUGGCCAAGAUAAAGCAAAGCAGUGUGACACAGACAACAACACAGAGUUACACAUGGAGUAAACAAUAAAUAAUACGGUGAUUGAAAACAAUGUAACCAAUCUACUGUAUAUAUUAUGUAUCAGGUGACAGAGGCCAUGUUUGAUUGGACAACAGAUGAGCUAGUUAGACAGUUCAAUCCAGAGGCAGGGUAGGGCAACACAGCCGGAAUGCUUGGGAUUUUUGGUUGUCAAUCGUUGCUCAGCAACCACACACCAUCUAGCUUGUCCUCUCACCUGCUCUCUCUCACCUCCCCUCGCUCUCACUCACAAACACACACAGGUACACACACAUACACAUUCUCUCGCUCUCUUCUUCACAUAGAUGUGUGAGCAAGGGAGCAGAUGUACCAUGGCAAUGUAUUCUACAGUGAGAUCUGCCUAGACAGAGAGAGGAGGAAAGAGGAGAGAAGUAGAGCGAGUCAAAGGAAGGACAUGGUAGUGCUGAAAGGCAGGAGGCCUUGACAGAUAAUAGACAGAGAUGGAGAUAGAGCCGCCAGUCUCUCAGUUAACUGGGGAUGCAGAGGUGCUAGAGCUAGACUAAUGGUUACUAUAUACACUCUCUCAGCACAGCACAGGUCUUUGUUUGUGUCUGUGCAUGUUUGUGUGUGUGUGUGUGUGUCUGUGCCUGCAUGCAUGCAUGAGAGUGUGCAUGUGAGUGUACAACAUGUGUAGUGUCCAGAAGCGGUAUGUCUGUGCUAUGGUCCAUAACGAGCCACCACCGAGAGGCUGCUUUCCCAUGGUGUACAUACAGUGUACAUACAGGAAUGAUAGUAUUGCAAUAAUAAUACAUGGAUGUACAGUAAAGCUGUAAGAGAGCAGAAGGCAAAUACUAUAGAUGCAUAAUACAGAACACACUCAAAGAUGUAACCAAAACUCCUUUUAGGUUGUGGAAUAAAUCUCUUUUUAUAUUUAUUCUUUAGAUUUUAGGGAAACAGCCGUUUUUUACAGCACAAUUUGCAUAAUAAUAUCUUAACACAUCCUGUGUACAACCACAAAACCAGAACGAUAGAUUCCCCAUUUUUACACUGAGUGAAAAACAAGACAAUUUUACAAGCAUAAUCUUUAUACAGUCGGCAUACAACUUCCGAUAAAUCUAUACAUAUUAUCUCCCUCUUUUUGAACAUAUCUGGAAGCAAAAUAUUGACAGACAUGCAAUAUCCAGUGUGGUAACAGGAAGUCUCAGACAACUGAAAUUAAGUAGAUUUGUCCCCUCUGGUUGGCUGGGCAUCUUUGACAUAGUUUUACAGUCAGACACCCAUGGGUUGACAACGCACGGUCAGAUCACAUAAUCACCUUCUCACACACACCACUAGAGACAGACAGACAGACAGGUUUUAAGUUUUUUGUAUUUUUGUUUUACACUCACAUGCUCAAACCUCAGACAAUACGAACAAUCAAUCUCUGUAGAAAAUAAAAACACUUUAUAUUUACAUAGAUCAGAUGAGCACGCCACAUUCACACCCCUCACAGAUACACACGUUUGAUUGGUUUCAUGGUUACUAGGAACGGACUGAGCGACAAUGGAUAUUGACAAUCUAGUUGAGUGUAAUCUGAGGAGAACAUGAAUGGGGGACAGACCUGGAGUUGGGCUUUGAAAAUGACCUCAUAAUUCUUCUCGGACUGAUCAUCAUGGAUUUAUACAUACAUGUGUUGGUGGUUAUAUUAACCAUACGGUUUGAUGGUGUCUCCUCAGAUAUGAAGCAAUAUGUACCUUAAAUUGUCUGUGAUUGUAGAUUUAGUUUGAGUUUUUCUUUUGCCAUGUAAAUCAAAAACUGUUUUGUAUGAACUCCUUCAUACAUCACAAACUCAAAAUCAUCUCAACAUAAAGACACUAAUUGGAACAGCCACUUCAACUUGCAUGUUAUGACACUUUACACGGAACAAGGAAAUCAGUCAACAAUGUAAUACUAAAGUGCACAAGCUUGAUGUAUAUGAUUGUAUACAGGUAGUAAAAAAAUGUAUCUAUAUUUUUUUAUAUUUUUCUUUAAUAAUAUAUAAAUCAAAAUUCUCUUCAUAAGAUACAUAUUUUCAGACGCAAUGUUCACUGAUAUUACUUGUUAAGAAAAUGCAUUCAAACACAAAGUCUAUGUUGCAUAGAAUUACUUCAACAGAACCAAUGGGUUUGCUUACAAAAUAAGGUUGGCACGACAAUAUAAUUUUUGUAAAACCUUUUUACCUUUCUUUAAAAUCAUGUAUAUUUUUUGUUUUAUGAACAUUCUGACAUCUUGACUCAGUGUCUGCAUUUCGAGCCUCUGAUAUGGACUUUAUGUAUUAGGAAAUUGCAUCUGUCAACCCUAGUUCCUCAGUGAUAUGCCUAGACACUAGCAGUCGGGUUGAGGGUAGUAGGUCUGUUGGGUCACCUGGUGAUGUUGUUUACUAUGAUGCACCAUAUUCAUAGUCUGGGUACCAAUCUUUUUAGCUAAUAUUCCACUCCCUGCCACUCCUGUCAUUUACCAAAGACACAGAGUACAAGGAAUGGGAUGUAAUAGCUGAACCGAGAUGAAAACCAGGCUACUAUAGUGAUGACUGACAAUAACAUUGACCUAUACUGUAUAUAAGUGUGUAUCAGCAUGUCCCGGCCAUAUGUGAUGACUGGGCCAUAGGUAAUGACUUAGAGCAUUGAGCAGAGGCAGUGCCACAGGCUGGUUCACUGUGUUGUUGCAUUACCUCCACUUACAAGAACACCGACUGCACAGUGUACAAUUUACAGUGUACUGUGUACAGCAUGAUGUUGGAUGUUCUGUUAUUAAACAAACCACACAUUGUGUGAUGUGAUGACAUUAACACACACACACACAGCAUAGAGAACCAGACUGUGAAGGCACACACCGAGAGGACAGGUGUGUUUACCUGUUGCUUUGACAUAGAACAGGUGAGCGGCCCAGACAGGUGAGCAGAGCACUUCACCAGAGAGAUGCUACACAUCCCUCUGUCCGAUUGCAGGUUGGGCAAAGUGGCCAGCAAUCCAGGUUUCUCUCUCAAACCAAAGCUAUUGUUUAAGCCUCCAGUCACGUGUGUGAAAGACAACACAAAAAUAUCAAGUCAGAUGGGUCCAGUAAAAUCAUAUGAUCUUCCUCAGUGAGUAACAUUCAGGACAUAAUAGGGGAUCGUUUGAAGAGGAAGGGACCUGACAUCCCCUUUCUAUCUGUUCUCUUCUCACCACCUGUAAGAGGAGGGAUAUCCAUGUCGUAGUUCUCCUCUCUAAUAUCUCAGUUGUAAAAUGAGUUCCACAUUCCCCAGUUGAACUGCAUUUUCCUAUUUUUUCCAAUGACUAACACCCAGUAUAACUGCAUAACAUCAGAGCUAAAGUGAUUGGAUUGUCUGUGCUCCUUCCAUACAUACCUUCUUCUGUACAGAAUACAUUUAGUCUUUAGAAUAAACUGCACAUGAGUAGACCCCUCGCAUCAUCUGCAAUAUCUGUAUGUUUUAUUGUUAUAAACUCUAUGUUCAUAAAUAACAUUUCUCUGUA